UUAAGACUUGUAGUGAUGUUUAGCUCAUCUCCACGUGAACAUCACUGCAAGUCUGUGCU
rnacentral:pre_miRNA from 1 species